ACGGUCCUAAGGUAGCGAAAUUCCUUGUCGGGUAAGUUCCGACCUGCACGAAUGGCGUAAUGAUGGCCAGGCUGUCUCCACCCGAGACUCAGUGAAAUUGAACUCGCUGUGAAGAUGCAGUGUACCCGCGGCAAGACGGAAAGACCCCGUGAACCUUUACUAUAGCUUGACACUGAACAUUGAGCCUUGAUGUGUAGGAUAGGUGGGAGGCUUUGAAGUGUGGACGCCAGUCUGCAUGGAGCCGACCUUGAAAUACCACCCUUUAAUGUUUGAUGUUCUAACGUUGGCCCGUAAUCCGGGUUGCGGACAGUGUCUGGUGGGUAGUUUGACUGGGGCGGUCUCCUCCUAAAGAGUAACGGAGGAGCACGAAGGUUGGCUAAUCCUGGUCGGACAUCAGGAGGUUAGUGCAAUGGCAUAAGCCAGCUUGACUGCGAGCGUGACGGCGCGAGCAGGUGCGAAAGCAGGUCAUAGUGAUCCGGUGGUUCUGAAUGGAAGGGCCAUCGCUCAACGGAUAAAAGGUACUCCGGGGAUAACAGGCUGAUACCGCCCAAGAGUUCAUAUCGACGGCGGUGUUUGGCACCUCGAUGUCGGCUCAUCACAUCCUGGGGCUGAAGUAGGUCCCAAGGGUAUGGCUGUUCGCCAUUUAAAGUGGUACGCGAGCUGGGUUUAGAACGUCGUGAGACAGUUCGGUCCCUAUCUGCCGUGGGCGCUGGAGAACUGAGGGGGGCUGCUCCUAGUACGAGAGGACCGGAGUGGACGCAUCACUGGUGUUCGGGUUGUCAUGCCAAUGGCACUGCCCGGUAGCUAAAUGCGGAAGAGAUAAGUGCUGAAAGCAUCUAAGCACGAAACUUGCCCCGAGAUGAGUUCUCCCUGACUCCUUGAGGGUCCUGAAGGAACGUUGAAGACGACGACGUUGAUAGGCUGGGUGUGUAAGCGCAGCGAUGCGUUGAGCUAACCGGUACUAAUGAACCGUGAGGCUUAACCUU
rnacentral:rRNA from 1 species